rnacentral:rRNA from 1 species
AGCUCAAAUUUGAAAUCUGGCGUGCUCAGUGCGUCCGAGUUGUAAUCUAUAGAGGCGUUUUCCGUGCCGGACUGUGUCUAAGUCCCUUGGAACAGGGUAUCAAAGAGGGUGAUAAUCCCGUACUUGACACAAUGACCGGUGCUCUGUGAUACGUCUUCUACGAGUCGAGUUGUUUGGGAAUGCAGCUCAAAAUGGGUGGUGAGUUCCAUCUAAAGCUAAAUAUUGGCGAGAGACCGAUAGCGAACAAGUACCGUGAGGGAAAGAUGAAAAGCACUUUGGAAAGAGAGUUAAACAGUACGUGAAAUUGUUGAAAGGGAAACGAUUGAAGUCAGUCGUGACUGAGAGGCUCAGCCGGUUCUGCCGGUGUAUUCCCCUCAGUCGGGUCAACAUCAGUUUUGUUCGGUGGAUAAGGGCAGCUGGAAGGUGGCACCUCCGGGUGUGUUAUAGCCAGCUGUCGCAUACAUCGAAUGAGACUGAGGAAUGCAGCUCGCCUUUAUGGCCGGGGUUCGCCCACGUCCGAGCUUAGGAUGUUGACAUAAUGGCUUUAAACGACCCGU